AUUAGUUAGUUGAUUGGUCUGAUUGGUCAGUUGAUUGGUGGCUUGGUAAUUUGGUUGGUCGGUUAAGCAGUUGGUUGGUUAGUUUUAGGAUGGCUGGUUGGUUGGGUGGUUGGUCAGCCGGUCGAUCAGCCGCUCAGUCAAUCAGUUUGUUGGUUGGUUAGUUGAAAAGGUGAUCCGACUGUAGCUGUUUGUUUGGUAUUUAAAGAUCCAAUAUGUGAUACUUCAGCACCACUAGUUGUUGCAGUUGCACAUGAAUGAAUGUUGAACCAAAACAAAGGUGAUCAUGACAACUGUCAGUAAACUAACAUAACAUUAACAUAAUAUAUAACAUGUACACAGUUUUUAUACCUAAUUUUACAAUUUUUUUGGUUUCACUUUUCAUCAAACCUCUGCUGAACUGAACUGAGCUGAACUGAAGCCCAACACCAGACAUGUGGAGGAGCAGCCUCAUCCGCUGUCUUCCAUCUGAUGAUUUACACCGACACUGGGACGGAGAAACUUGAGAAGGGGCCUCAGCCAAAAAGCUCCACAUGGGAGAUCCACAUCAGUAUGUGAGUGGAAGAGCGGCAGCAGUUACGGUUGAUCUGAUAUUAAGUGGCUGGCUGCAUGGAAUUGAUUGGGGGAGCCACAUGUGGUCCAUGAGCCACGAGUUUGAGACCUCUGGCCUAACAGAGCAACACUUAAAUGAAUGAGGAGGUGCAGUGAAGACAGAAAUGUCCUAUGAGGACAUGAAAAUAAACCUGUCUGUCCACACUCACAAAGAAGGGCAAAAAGAAAAAAGAAAAAAGAAAAA